GAUGAACGCUGGCGGCGUGCCUAAUACAUGCCAGUCGAGCGAACGCACGAUAAGCUUUCUUCUCUGCUGUUAGCGGCGGACGGGUGAGUAACACGUGGAUAACCUACUUAUAAUUCUUGGAUAACUUCGUGAAACCGUAUCUACUACCGCCUCAUAUUUUCAACCGCAUGGUUCAGAAGUUCUUGACGGUCUUGCUGUCACUUAUAGCUGGUUCCGCGCUGCAUUAGCUAGUUGGUAAGGUAACGGCUUACCAAGGCAACGAUGCAUAGCCGAACUGAGAGGAUGAUCGGCCACACUGGAACUGAGACACGGUCCAGACUCCUACGGGAGGCAGCAGUAGGGAAUAUUGCGCAAUGGGCGAAAGCCUGACGGAGCAACGCCGCGUGAGUGAUGAAGGUCUUCGGAUCGUAAAACUCUGUUAUUAGGGAAGAAAAGAUGUGGAAGUAAAUGUGGACAUCUUGACGGUACCUAAAGAGAAAGCAACGGCUAACUUCGUG
rnacentral:rRNA from 1 species